rnacentral:rRNA from 1 species
GAUGAACGCUAGCUACAGGCUUAACACAUGCAAGUCGAGGGGCAGCAUUAUCGAAGCUUGCUUUGAUAGAUGGCGACCGGCGCACGGGUGAGUAACGCGUAUCCAACCUUCCCCAUAGUCAGGAAUAGCCCGGCGAAAGUCGAAUUAAUGCCUGAUGUUUUCCACGGACGGCAUCUGAUGUGGAACAAAGAUUGAUCGCUAUGGGAUGGGGAUGCGUCUGAUUAGCUUGUUGGCGGGGUAACGGCCCACCAAGGCAACGAUCAGUAGGGGUUCUGAGAGGAAGGUCCCCCACAUUGGAACUGAGACACGGUCCAAACUCCUACGGGAGGCAGCAGUGAGGAAUAUUGGUCAAUGGGCGGAAGCCUGAACCAGCCAAGUAGCGUGAGGGAUGACUGCCCUAUGGGUUGUAAACCUCUUUUGUUUGGGAAUAAAGUGCAGGACGUGUCCCGCGUUGCAUGUACCAUUUGAAUAAGGACCGGCUAAUUCCGUGCCAG